AGAGUUUGAUCCUGGCUCAGGAUGAACGCUGGCGGCGUGCCUAAUACAUGCAAGUCGAGCGAACGGACGAGAAGCUUGCUUCUCUGAUGUUAGCGGCGGACGGGUGAGUAACACGUGGAUAACCUACCUAUAAGACUGGGAUAACUUCGGGAAACCGGAGCUAAUACCGGAUAAUAUUUUGAACCGCAUGGUUCAAAAGUGAAAGACGGUCUUGCUGUCACUUAUAGAUGGAUCCGCGCUGCAUUAGCUAGUUGGUAAGGUAACGGCUUACCAAGGCAACGAUGCAUAGCCGACCUGAGAGGGUGAUCGGCCACACUGGAACUGAGACACGGUCCAGACUCCUACGGGAGGCAGCAGUAGGGAAUCUUCCGCAAUGGGCGAAAGCCUGACGGAGCAACGCCGCGUGAGUGAUGAAGGUCUUCGGAUCGUAAAACUCUGUUAUUAGGGAAGAACAUAUGUGUAAGUAACUGUGCACAUCUUGACGGUACCUAAUCAGAAAGCCACGGCUAACUACGUGCCAGCAGCCGCGGUAAUACGUAGGUGGCAAGCGUUAUCCGGAAUUAUUGGGCGUAAAGCGCGCGUAGGCGGUUUUUUAAGUCUGAUGUGAAAGCCCACGGCUCAACCGUGGAGGGUCAUUGGAAACUGGAAAACUUGAGUGCAGAAGAGGAAAGUGGAAUUCCAUGUGUAGCGGUGAAAUGCGCAGAGAUAUGGAGGAACACCAGUGGCGAAGGCGACUUUCUGGUCUGUAACUGACGCUGAUGUGCGAAAGCGUGGGGAUCAAACAGGAUUAGAUACCCUGGUAGUCCACGCCGUAAACGAUGAGUGCUAAGUGUUAGGGGGUUUCCGCCCCUUAGUGCUGCAGCUAACGCAUUAAGCACUCCGCCUGGGGAGUACGACCGCAAGGUUGAAACUCAAAGGAAUUGACGGGGACCCGCACAAGCGGUGGAGCAUGUGGUUUAAUUCGAAGCAACGCGAAGAACCUUACCAAAUCUUGACAUCCUUUGACAACUCUAGAGAUAGAGCUUUCCCCUUCGGGGGACAAAGUGACAGGUGGUGCAUGGUUGUCGUCAGCUCGUGUCGUGAGAUGUUGGGUUA
rnacentral:rRNA from 1 species